AGAAAAACCCGGAGUGGAGCAGGACCAGGAAGAUGCUGCACCUCGGGAUGCUGCGGCGCCCCUGCUGCUCCUGCCUCUGCCCCGGCAUUCCCUAACGGGGAAACGGGAGAAGGAGACCUGGUGGAUGUGCAGCGAGCAUCCUGCGGGGCGGCGGGAGAGCCCACGAGCGAGUCCUGCNNNNNNNNNNNNNNNNNNNNNNNNNNGAGCGAGUCCUGCCAGUGGAAAUGCUGCUGCAUUCCUGAUUAAAUAAAUAAAUAAAACAUAUAAAAAGAGAUGGGGUUAGGAGGAAGGAGAAAUCUAUAGCUGCGAUUUUUACAUGGCAUGUUUAUUUAUUUACGGUAUUUAAUGGAAGCCGCUCCUCCAUUUCAUCCUGAGAGCAAGGCCAAGGCCGGCCCCGGAGCGCUGCUCCCAGCUGUUCACUCGCAUCCCUCAAUGACAUUGGACACCUGGCCCCAAAUGUGGGGACUCGGGCUGAGUUGAAGCAGCAGAGGUUUGGGCUUUUCGGAAUUGGAAGGCGUGGGCCGUGUUCCCGCUGUUUCGCCGGAGCUCGUAGUAGCCAUGCUGCACGGCAUAUGGGUGUCCUGAGUGAUCACAGAUUUGUUGCAAUACUUUGGCAUGGGCAGAUAGCAAAAUGAUGCUGGAGUAUAAGAAAGCAGACAUCUGCGAGCAUUAGCUAUAUUCUAGGCUGUUGGUUGUUGGGGUUUUUUUUAAGAAGUACAUUAAGAAAUUUGCAAAUGUCACAUUAUUAAUGCAAAUGUCAAAAUUAAAUUUUUACAUUUAAACCUGAAUUCUUCUUGAGCAUCUUGUAUUACAAUAUCCUUCAGUGAUGCUACCCCAUCAUUUCCAACAACCUUGUACUGUACGUGUUUCUUCUUCUUGUUUUUCCAUGUGAGAAUGGUCCUGUGGUCUGAGUUACUCAUCAACUCUUGUACCCCAUAGAAAAGAUGGAAAGGUUCAAUUCUUUGUCACAGAAAUUGAAGGGAAGAUCAACAGGGACAGGAUUGCCACACGAGCACACCUAUGUGUAAUUCAAGAAUAACUCAAAACUAUGUGCAUUUGGGUGGUAGCACAACCCUCCUGAGAUUCCCUGUAGGAAAAUCAGGCAUUUUCACAUGAAACCACCCUGGAAUGCCAUGUGUGUGUCUAUCAUAGAUUUUAUCAGCCACACACAGGCUCUCGUGUCCUCAAAUUGAACCAGAGAGAUCUUCAUGUGCCAUAAAUUUUUACUGUUGCUGGGUACAGCUGUGGCUGCUACGGGUGCUGGUUCUGAGCAGAACAAGUGUCCUUUCUAUGCAUGUCAUGGCAUUG
rnacentral:lncRNA from 1 species